CGGCCGCGGUAUCCUAACCGUGCGAAGGUAGCGUAAUCACUUGUUCUUUAAAUGUGGACUAGUAUGAAUGGCACCACGAAGGUUAUACUGUCUCCUUUUUCUAAUCAGUGAAACUAAUCUCCCCGUGAAGAAGCGGGGAUAAAACUAUAAGACGAGAAGACCCUAUGGAGCUUUAAACAACAUAGCACUUGCCACACACCAUUAAAAUUCCAGAAUCUUUAAUUCUCUGAGCAAUAUGACUAUAAGUUUUUGGUUGGGGUGACCGCG
rnacentral:rRNA from 1 species